AACAGUAGAAACUACACCAACUGAUCCAACGACUGAAGAAACCACAUCACCUGACACAACAACAGAAGAAACUACACCAGUUACAACCACAGUAGAAACUACACCAACUGAUCCAACGACUGAAGAAACCACAUCACCUGACACAACAACAGAAAAAACUACACCAGUUACAACCACAGAAAACUGUGAAAUAGAUGCAAUUCCUUUCUCAAAUCAAA
rnacentral:lncRNA from 1 species